rnacentral:rRNA from 1 species
UACGAAGGGGGCUAGCGUUGCUCGGAAUCACUGGGCGUAAAGCGCACGUAGGCGGCUUUUUAAGUCAGGGGUGAAAUCCCGGAGCUCAACUCCGGAACUGCCCUUGAUACUGGAAAGCUUGAGUCCGGGAGAGGUGAGUGGAACUGCGAGUGUAGAGGUGAAAUUCGUAGAUAUUCGCAAGAACACCAGUGGCGAAGGCGGCUCACUGGCCCGGUACUGACGCUGAGGUGCGAAAGCGUGGGGAGCAAACAGG